UUUAUAUUAUAUUGAUUAAUUGGAUUGCAUACGUUUCUUUUCCGGUUUGACUUCUACGGUCGACAAAGUUUCAUGUCCAACAUUACUUGACGAAGAGGAAGAGCCGGAUUCAAGUGGACUUACUGGGCUAUAGCUACUUUAUGUAUCUGGGGGAGUGACAUCAAUGGAACAUUUCUUGCGCAAGAUUUUCCCAUCUGUUUAUGACAAGGAAAAAAACGCACACAUCGAAACCACGUACGCAAAUUUGACAACCAAACACUUACGAUGUUCACAUCAUCAUUGUACCUUGCUGCACUUUGUUCCUCACUUGUUGCAUCCACUGUUCAAAGAAAUACUUGCCUAUUUUGCUGAAUUCUUAUCCAGGGAACUUGACAAAGAGUGAUGGUUGUCAAUUUGUUGGAAAUGCUUCGGGCGUUAGAGCAUCGUUAGACCAUUGUGUGCUCUUUACUUUAUAUUGGUCAAGCUGUUGUAGAAGCUUUAUAUUGCAUCAUUGUAAACUAAUUUCCAGUUGUAAGCAUUGAUUAUUGUUAAGUUGUCAAUCCUUAUUUGUUAUUAGUGUAUGAUGUAUAAAUCGAAGCCAUUAUGCGUACGAGGAUUUCAAAUUUUUGUCUCCUGGUA